UACGUAGGGCGCAAGCGUUGUCCGGAAUUACUGGGCGUAAAGGGCUCGUAGGCGGCCAACUAAGUCAGACGUGAAAUCCCUCGGCUUAACCGGGGAACUGCGUCUGAUACUGGAUGGCUUGAGUUUGGGAGAGGGAUGCGGAAUUCCAGGUGUAGCGGUGAAAUGCGUAGAUAUCUGGAGGAACACCGGUGGCGAAGGCGGCAUCCUGGACCAACACUGACGCUGAGUGAGCGAAAGCCAGGGGAGCAAACGGG
rnacentral:rRNA from 1 species